CAGAGGUGCGGGAUCGAGGAAGUCGAUGCGUGCGCUCGGAUCAACCGGAGGAACGGGAUCCGGGUCCAACCGAUGCUGUCCAGUACGCGAGCGAGAGUUCGACAUCUGGGACACUGCCGGCGAGUAGCGCUACCACAGCCUCGCCCCCAUGUUCCCCGGCGCUGCCGCUACCAUAGUCAUCUACGACAUCACUAGCACGGUGAGGGAGAUCUUCUCUUCUCCUCGGUACUUCGUUUAGUGAUCUUCCCUGAACAUGUGCCGGAUGAGUUGAUCACCUGCUUUCUGUUCACGUUAAUCUGUUUGAUGUUUCCUGUGUGGGCGUCAGGACUCUUACAUCCGAGCAAGGAAGAGGUGGGUUGACGAGCUUCAUAGACUAGGGAACCCAGGUUUGGUGAUGGUGUUAGUAGGCAACAAGGUCGAUUUAGAAAACAAGAGGAGGCGCUAGAGAUGUCAGCGAAGAUGGCGACCUAGCCGAGGCGAUACGGCGUGCGGCUCUGCAGGAUUGGAAUGAUUCGGUCCUCCGGACCGCACACCAAUGCACGUUCAUGCCAAUCUCGUCUCGCUGUUCGUCUGUUCGUCGAGCGAAACUGCUCCGCCGGGAAUCGAAGGCAAACAAUUACUCUUUAGUUUCUCUUCAGGCAUUCAUGUUGGAUGAUGUCCGCCUCUCGCUGGCGUUGAUUAAUGGAUGUCUGCCUCUUUGUUUUCCCAUCCUUCAGCUGCCGUGUAUACAUGCUUCCUCCCUUACCAUUUUCGAUCCCGCGACAAAACAUCCAUCAACGUGGUGAUCUGCUAGGUUCCCCUAUAAUCUUUAUUUUUUUCCCAUUCAUAUAUGAUUCUUUCCACUACAGGAUUACAUUGUGCUAAUUUCAUCUCAGUCAAAAAUUUGUACAAGUGUUGUUCAU